rnacentral:tRNA from 2 species
GGAGGGCUCGCAUAGUGGCCUAGUGCGGCGGUCUUGAAAACCGCUAUGCGUUCACGCGCAUCGUGGGUUCGAAUCCCACGCCCUCCG